rnacentral:pre_miRNA from 1 species
CAUAUACUCCCUCCGUCCGAAAAUACUUGUCACCAAAAUGGAUAAAAAGGGAUGUAUCUAGAACUAAAAUACGUCUAGAUACAUCUUCUUUUAUCCAUUUUGAUGACAAGUAUUUCCGGACGGAGGGAGUAUAUC